UUGGAGGGCAAGUCUGGUGCCAGCAGCCGCGGUAAUUCCAGCUCCAAUAGCGUAUAUUAAAGUUGUUGCAGUUAAAGAGCUCGUAGUUGAAUUUCGGGGUUAGUAGGUUGGUCAUGCCUCUGGUAUGUACUGGUCUCACUGAUUCCUCCUUCCUGAUGAGCCGUAAUGCCAUUAAUUUGGUGUUGCGGGGAAUUUGGACUGUUACUUUGAAAAAAUUAGAGUGUUUAAAGCAAGCUAACGCUUGAAUACAUUAGCAUGGAAUAAUGAAAUAGGACGUUCGAUCCUAUUUUGUUGGUUUCUAGGAUUGACGUAAUGAUUAAUAGGGAUAGUUGGGGGCAUUAGUAUUCAAUUGUCAGAGGUGAAAUUCUUGGAUUUAUUGAAGACUAACUACUGCGAAAGCAUUUGCCAAGGAUGUUUUCAUUAAUCAAGAACGAAAGUUAGGGGAUCGAAGACGAUCAGAUACCGUCGUAGUCUUAACCAUAAACUAUGCCGACUAGGGAUCGGAUGAUGUUAAUUUUUUAAUGACUCAUUCGGCGCCUUACGGGAAAC
rnacentral:rRNA from 1 species